UCCCCCGCCCGGAGGGGCCGCGGUCUACGAAGCCGCAGGUCGGUGGUUCGACUCCAUCCGGGGGAA
rnacentral:tRNA from 1 species